AUACGGAGGGUGCAAGCGUUGUGCGGAUUUAUUGGGUUUAAAGGGUGUGUAGGCGGUGUAUUAAGUCAGUGGUGAAAGCCUGCGGCUCAACCGUAGAACUGCCAUUGAUACUGACACACUUGAGUAUGGACGAGGUAGGCGGAAUUUAUGGUGUAGCGGUGAAAUGCAUAGAUACCAUAAAGAACACCGAUAGCGAAGGCAGCUUACUAGGCCAUAACUGACGCUGAGGCACGAAAGCGUGGGGAGCGAACAGGAGUAGAUACCCUAGUAGUCC
rnacentral:rRNA from 1 species